UUGAUUGAUUUGUCCGUAAGCUCAGACCGCAUUGAUAUAAGAAUGGUUUUCUGGGCUUUUGGCGGGCGCUCGCGGAUCCCGGAAGGGACCAUGCGCCGGGGGACAAGCCCCGGGGGCCCGCCAAAGCAACAUUGGAAGAUACGCAAAGGGUGGAAAGGUGCGGGGCAAAGCCCCUGGAGCGCGAAAGCCCCCCUCUCGAUAAUGAUCCUUCCGCAGGUUCACCUACGGAAA
rnacentral:misc_RNA from 1 species